rnacentral:rRNA from 1 species
UCGAGGGGCAGCAUCGCGAUAGCUUGCUAUUGCGGAUGGCGACCGGCGCACGGGUGAGUAACGCGUAUCCAACCUUCCCGCAACUGGGGAAUAACCUUGCGAAAGUAAGACUAAUACCCCAUGGUCUCCACGGAUGGCAUCUGAAAUGGAGUAAAGGUUUCGGCCGGUUGCGGAUGGGGAUGCGUCCGAUUAGCUUGACGGCGGGGUAACGGCCCACCGUGGCAUCGAUCGGUAGGGGUUCUGAGAGGAAGGUCCCCACAUUGGAACUGAGACACGGUCCAAACUCC